rnacentral:rRNA from 1 species
CUUUCGUCAUGCUUGUCUCAAAGAUUAAGCCAUGCACGUCUGAGAAUAAAGAGUUUUCUCUGAAUCUGCGAAUGGCUCAUUAUAUCAGUUAUAGUUUAUUUGAUAGUCCCUUACUACUUGGAUAACCGUAGUAAUUCUAGAGCUAAUACAUGCAUCAAACCCCAACUGCUUGUCGGAAGGGGUGUAUUUAUUAGAUAGAAACCAAUGCGGGGCAACCCGGUAUUGUGGUGAAUCAUGAUAACUUUGCGGAUCGCAGACCUCGUGUCGGCGACGAAUCAUUCAAGUUUCUGCCCUAUCAGCUUUGGAUGGUAGGGUAUUGGCCUACCAUGGCUCCAACGGGUAACGGGGAAUG